UUAGUUGAGAUUUGGCUUUCUCUGCUUUCACGUCAGGUCAGACACUUACAACAAAAACUUGAAAAAGGGACUUGAAGCACCCAGGAUGUUGAAGCGCUCUACAGUUUUGAUUUCACUCUGUUCCUUGUUAACUAUGUUUGUUUUAUGGGUUUUGAUCCGAGAUGGUCUUCCACGGACAACUGAGGUCCUCAGGUUUAAGUUUGGCUGACGUGAUGAGAGGUGUGUCUUAUACGUUGGGUACUUCCAAAGUUCGCAAGUUGUGGAACAUCAGUACCUCAACAUCCAUGUUUUUCGUGGAAACCAAUCCAAAAGUGUUGUCAUUGCCACCCAGAGUGAUGUGUGCCCUAGAGAGUGCUGCUCUUCAUAAUCCGGACCGACAGGUUUAUCACAUCGCUCAAAAAGAUAUCGGCGUUCACGAGUAUGAGCUGGUUUUACAUCAAUAUUCAAAUAUUCAGUUUCUCAAGAGGAACUUCAAUGAUUUGAUCUUGAGGUCACCGGUGGAGUCUAUUUAUAGCCAAACCUUGAGUGGCACGUCGUUCGAGGUCAAAAAUCUGAGUGAUAUUCUAAGAUUAAUGGUUCUGUUUUUCUUUGGUGGGGUUUACAUGGACACUGAUGUGAUAUCUUUGAACAGAGUUCCAAGUGAUUAAAACUUCUUAAUUUAAUUUCGAAAGAACUACAUAAACUUUGCAGUGGGUGGAUUUAAGUCUCACCAUCCAUUUAUUUAUGAGGCUUUGCUUAACAUGGCCAAGGAUUUUCGACCCGAACACUGGGCUUACAACGGACCAAACCUAGUAACUAGAGUGGCCAAAAUAUAUUGUCCCGCCCAUGGUGGAACGGCAUCCGAAAACAGUGUAGAUGGGAUGUGGUCUUGGAAAUGUGGAGACAUUCAGAUUUUGAAUAGUACCAAUGCUUACGCAAUCGACUACAGGGAUUUCAGAAAUCUGUUCAACACAUCUCAUUCCACAGAGAUUGAAGCUGCCAUUUCCAAUAGCUUUGCGAUGCAUUACUGGAACAAAAUGAUAAGUUGGCAUGGUAGAGUCACAUUGCGUGAAGACCAACCUCUCUACAAGAUAUUUCGGCAAAAUUGUCCCGUUACUGAAGAAUUUUACUUGAGACCUCUUUUGAAUCAACGAUUCCAUAUUCGAGAUAAAUCGACGAAAAUGCGUAGAACAAUAGGCACUCACUCGGUUCAACAAAGAGUGGUCAAUUAAAACAUGCAAGACGUCAUGACUCAAUAGGCUCAUCGUACAUACUUUGUAAAGUUUAGAUAUUAAUAUUCUCUUGAUAUGCUAAAACACACUGUAUGUAAUAAAGAAUUCUAAAAUCA